UACGUAGGGGGCAAGCGUUGUCCGGAUUUAUUGGGCGUAAAGAGCGUGUAGGCGGUCAGGUAGGUCCGCUGUGAAAACUCGAGGCUCAACCUCGAGACGCCGAUGGAAACCAUCUGACUAGAGUCCGGAAGAGGAGAGUGGAAUUCCUGGUGUAGCGGUGAAAUGCGCAGAUAUCAGGAAGAACACCCGUGGCUAAGGCGGCUCUCUAGUACGGUACUGACGCUGAGACGCGAAAGCGUGGGGAGCGAACAGG
rnacentral:rRNA from 1 species